GUGCUCGCUUUGGCAGAACAUAUACUAAGUUGGAAUGAUACAGAGAAGAUUAGCCUGGCCCUUGCGCAAGGAUGACAUGCAAAUUCAUGAAUAAAAUAAAUGAAUA
rnacentral:snRNA from 1 species